CAGUAGCCACGGUAACACGAGGGGGGCAAGCGUUGUUCGGAAUUAUUGGGCGUAAAGGGCGCGUAGGCGGUUUGGCAAGUUUGGUGUGAAAUCUUCGGGCUCAACUCGAAGUCUGCAUCGAAAACUGCCGGGCUUGAGUAUGGGAGAGGUGAGUGGAAUUUCCGGUGUAGCGGUGAAAUGCGUAGAUAUCGGAAGGAACACCUGUGGCGAAAGCGGCUCACUGGAUCAUAACUGACGCUGAGGCGCGAAAGCUAGGGGAGCAAACAGGAUUAGAUACCCCUGUAGUCCCUGUCUCUUAUAC
rnacentral:rRNA from 1 species